GGGGCAGGGAGCGCUGUGGGCUGCUGGGGGUGCAGGGGGCCGCGCGGGCGCGCGUCACGGCCGUCUUCUCACCUCCAUCCCGACGGCUGCGAGGCAGAAAGCGAAAGCGGACGCGGGUGCCCACCUGUCCGAGGUCACAACAGACGGAGUGUGCACAACAGCCCCUCUGUCCUGGAGCGACCCCUCUUCCCAAACAUCGGAGCAUCUCCUGAGGUCGCUCCAGCGACGAGGUGAAGAAGCUGGGGCACAGAGAAAUGCCGCCAAAUCACCCUGGUAUUAAGUGGUUCAGCAGAGAUUUAAGCCCACACAGAGCCCAAGUUCUUGUCCACUGUGGCUUCUAAGUAAAGUAUAAAAA